UGCGCAGGCGGUUCGUUGUGUCUGUGGUGAAAGCCCCGGGCUUAACCUGGGAACGGCCAUGGAAACGGUGAGACUCGAGUACUGGAGAGGGUCGUGGAAUUCCCGGUGUAGCGGUGAAAUGCGUAGAGAUCGGGAGGAACACCAGAGGCGAAGGCGGCGACCUGGACAGUUACUGACACUCAAUUGCGAAAGCGUGGGGAGCAAACA
rnacentral:rRNA from 1 species